ACAGUGUCUGGUGGGUAGUUUGACUGGGGCGGUCUCCUCCUAAAGAGUAACGGAGGAGCACGAAGGUUGGCUAAUCCUGGUCGGACAUCAGGAGGUUAGUGCAAUGGCAUAAGCCAGCUUGACUGCGAGCGUGACGGCGCGAGCAGGUGCGAAAGCAGGUCAUAGUGAUCCGGUGGUUCUGAAUGGAAGGGCCAUCGCUCAACGGAUAAAAGGUACUCCGGGGAUAACAGGCUGAUACCGCCCAAGAGUUCAUAUCGACGGCGGUGUUUGGCACCUCGAUGUCGGCUCAUCACAUCCUGGGGCUGAAGUAGGUCCCAAGGGUAUGGCUGUUCGCCAUUUAAAGUGGUACGCGAGCUGGGUUUAGAACGUCGUGAGACAGUUCGGUCCCUAUCUGCCGUGGGCGCUGGAGAACUGAGGGGGGCUGCUCCUAGUACGAGAGGACCGGAGUGGACGCAUCACUGGUGUUCGGGUUGUCAUGCCAAUGGCAUUGCCCGGUAGCUAAAUGCGGAAGAGAUAAGUGCUGAAAGCAUCUAAGCACGAAACUUGCCCCGAGAUGAGUUCUCCCUGACCCUUUAAGGGUCCUG
rnacentral:rRNA from 1 species